AAGGUUAGGCCAGCCUGGU
rnacentral:miRNA from 1 species